UGACCGCGUAUGAAAGUACGUUUUCACCUCGGGUGACAGGGAGACAGGUGGUGCAUGGUUGUCGUCAGCUCGUGUCGUGAGAUGUUGGGUUAAGUCCCGCAACGAGCGCAACCCCUACGUUUAGUUGCUAACGCGUGAAGGCGAGCACUCUAGACGAACUGCCGUUGACAAAACGGAGGAAGUGGGAUGACGUCAAAUCAUCAUGCCCCUUAUGUUCUGGGCUACACACGUGCUACAAUGGCCGGUACAGACGGACGCAAAGCCGCGAGGUGGAGCAAAUCCUAAAAAGCCGGUCUCAGUUCGGAUUGCAGGCUGCAAUUCGCCUGCAUGAAGUCGGAAUCGCUAGUAAUCGCAGGUCAGCAUACUGCGGUGAAUACGUUCCCGGGCCUU
rnacentral:rRNA from 1 species